CAUUAAAACAUCAACCGUACUGUUUAAACGCUAUUAUUUCCUUUCUCAAGUAGCACAAGUUCUCCGAAUGUCCGUUAAAACACCAGCAGAGGGCGCUAUUGAGCCACCAAAAUUACAACCAAUCAAAGAAAACAAAAAGCCUAAACGGUUGGAGGCUUAUUCCAGGUGAAAGGAAUACUGGACCAACAUGGCUAUUAUUCCCAUACUUCAACCCCUGUCUUGACUGCAACUUAUUGGAACUGUCUUCACCAUACAACAAGACAAUGAGCCGAAGCGUAUGUCCAAGCCCCGUUAGCGUCAUUUAUAGAGCAAACAGUGGACUGGAGUGGUAUCUAUAAUGGAAUGGCCUGCCUGAUCACCGCACCAAAAUCCCAUUGAAGUUCUCUGGGAUUCACCGGAUCAUAAGAAAAAUCUACAACUAGUGAAAAACACAGUCAGCAGGUUUUCUAGGAGAGUGUUUGGAGAAACGAACUGUCUGAAUGCCAAGAGUUUGUAAAGUCGUUAUUCGUGGUAAAGGAGGAUUUUUUUUCAAUGAAGAUUCAGUCCAGUUUUUGUACAUUUAUAUUUGUGUCUGGUUGAAGGAAAUCUUUUUACAUAGGAACAGAAGUAACAUGCAUGUAGUUUCUAAAAAAAAAAAGAAAAGAAAAGACCCUCUGGACGAAUUACAGGUGGUACAAUCAGAUGUUCACAACUAUCAUCAAUUAAAAACUUAUGUAAAUAAAUUUGUUAAAAUAAAUCCUA